UGGGGAAUAUUGCACAAUGGGCGAAAGCCUGAUGCAGCAACGCCGCGUGAGUGAUGAAGGUCUUCGGAUUGUAAAGCUCUGUCUUUUGGGACGAUAAUGACGGUACCAAAGGAGGAAGCCACGGCUAACUACGUGCCAGCAGCCGCGGUAAUACGUAGGUGGCGAGCGUUGUCCGGAUUUACUGGGCGUAAAGGGUGCGUAGGCGGAUGUUUAAGUGAGAUGUGAAAUACCCGGGCUUAACUUGGGUGCUGCAUUUCAAACUGGAUAUCUAGAGUGCAGGAGAGGAGAAUGGAAUUCCUAGUGUAGCGGUGAAAUGCGUAGAGAUUAGGAAGAACACCAGUGGCGAAGGCGAUUCUCUGGACUGUAACUGACGCUGAGGCACGAAAGCGUAGGUAGCAAACAGGAUUAGAUACCCUGGUAGUCCACGCCGUAAACGAUGAGUACUAGGUGUAGGAGGUAUCGACCCCUUCUGUGCCGCAGUAAAACACAUUAAGUACUCCGCCUGGGAAGUACGAUCGCA
rnacentral:rRNA from 1 species